rnacentral:rRNA from 1 species
UUGACCUCAAAUCAGGUAGGACUACCCGCUGAACUUAAGCAUAUCAAUAAGCGGAGGAAAAGAAACUAACAAGGAUUCCCCUAGUAACUGCGAGUGAAGCGGGAAAAGCUCAAAUUUAAAAUCUGGCGGUCCUGUGGCCGUC